CGGUUCGGGGAAUGAUGUACUAUUACCGGGCUCUAAAAAUGCUGGCGUUUCUUGAUUCGGCUUCCGAAAUGGACAUUCG
rfam:Helianthus annuus linkage group 17, whole genome shotgun sequence.